UCCCUGGCAGUCCAGGGGUUAGGACUCCAUGCUUGCAAUGCAGAGGACACAGGUUCAAUCCCUGGUCAGGGAA
rnacentral:tRNA from 1 species